rnacentral:misc_RNA from 1 species
GAUGAAGAACGUAGCGAAAUGCGUUAAGUAAUGUGAAUUGCAGAAUUCAGUGAAUCAUCGAAUCUUUGAACGCACAUUGCGCCCUCUGGUAUUCCGGGGGGCAUGCCUGUUCGAGCGUCAUUAUAACCACUCAAGCUCUCGCUUGGUAUUGGAGUUCGCGAUCUCGCGGCUCCUAAAAUCAGUGGCGGUGCCUGUCGGCUCUACGCGUAGUAAUACUCCUCGCGAUUGAGUCCGGUAGGUUUACUUGCCAGCAACCCCCAAUUUUUACAGGUUGACCUCGGAUCAGGUAGGGAUACCCGCUGAACUUAAGCAUAUCAAUAAGCGGAGGA